rnacentral:rRNA from 1 species
GACGAACGCUGGCGGCGUGCUUAACACAUGCAAGUCGAACGGAAAGGCCUGCUUUCCCUUGUGGAUUGCGGGUACUCGAGUGGCGAACGGGUGAGUAACACGUGAGUGAUCUGCCCCCAACUUGGGUAUAAGCCUGGGAAACUGGGUCUAAUUCCCGAUAGGACUGCAGGGUGGUGCCUGUGGUGGAAAACGAUUUUCUAGUGGUUGGGGAUGCGCUCGCGGCCUAUCAGCUUGUUGGUGGGGUAAUGGCCUACCAAGGCGGCGACGGGUAGCCGGCCUGAGAGGGUGGACGGCCACAUUGGGACUGAGAUACGGCCCAGACUCCUACGGGAGGCAGCAGUGGGGAAUAUUGCACAAUGGGCGGAAGCCUGAUGCAGCGACGCCGCGUGGGGGAUGACGGCCUUCGGGUUGUAAACUCCUUUCGACCGCGAGGAAGCCACCUGGUUGGAAGGGUGGUGACGGUAGUGGUAGAAGAAGCACCGGCUAACUACGUG